CGUUCUCUGUGUCAAAUCUGUUGCUACGGUGCUACUCUCUCCAGCAAAGACCGACGACCACCCAUAACUUCCUCAUUCAGAUUUGUAACACCACCGACGGUAAUUUCCCUUUCUUGCUCUCUCAAUUUCUUUUGCACGCUCUUCUCCUGGUCUGUGAAAGCUUUUCGGUUGGGUGUGAGAAGAAGGUUACGAUGCCUCAAUUCGUUCCGUCUAAAGAUGAUAGCAAGCCGUGCAUCAAUACCCAAUUUUGAGAUCGGAUCCGAUUGAGACUGAGGAAGCUGUGCUGAGGUUGCCUCCAUUUUCGCUACUCCCAGGUCAUCUGGAAGCUUAACAUUAAUACCAUGGGUGAAAUUCUAUUACUUUUACUGUAAUUAUUGGUUUUACUAGUUGAACGUUCAAUGCCUUCAAUGAGAUUAUGUGGCUCAAGAUUCGAUAUUUCUAAUGCAAUGUGAUUUUGAUUUGUGGGCAAUCUUUAGAGGGCAUUGAACUAGUUAUGUGUAAGUUGAUGAAAGUUGAAAUGAAGGUCUGAGUUUAUUCUGGAAUCAUGUGAAAACACAGUUUGCUUAAUUGUGAUCAGGGUUGAACUUCAACGAUGUAGCAGGAGGGGUGAUCAUGGUUUGUGUGAAUCAAUUGAACUCAUGUUACUAGGAUGCAUUGCAAGCAGAUGGACUUUUGUAAUCGAGCAUUUGGUGUCAGUUUCAUAUGAUUCCCGCGCUAUUUUAGAGCAAUAUCAAGAAGUGUGCAACUUAAUCCAUGGAAGACCUGCAAUUCCUACAUCUAAACAGGAAACAAUCAGAGAGGAAAAUGGCAUUCUUGAGUAUCUGACCGGGAUGUUGGAUGGUCAGGUGCAUCUGUUAUGGAAAAUAUGCCCAGCUCUUGGAGCCGCUGUAAUUCCAUCAUGGUUGAUUUCACUUGUGGCACGGUGUAAUCAAGCAUAAGCAUGUUGUUCUGCAGAUUAAGUUGAACUCCCAUUAGAGUAGUAUUACUAAAUUACAUAGAUUUCUUGAUCAGUAUUCUCUAGAGUUAGUUUGACCUGAUAUAGAAGGAUUUUACUCCAUUGUAUUACUUAAUUCCCAGAGAGAAUGUAAUCCUUGAUUGGGUUUGUUUAUGUAUUGCUGAAUAUUUGAACCUUAGAGUUCUUUAAAUGAUAUUAUAUCAAUGUGAUUGAUCCAACCUUUCCUAUUCCUAUU